rnacentral:rRNA from 1 species
UACGAGGGGGGCUAGCGUUGCUCGGAAUUACUGGGCGUAAAGCGCACGUAGGCGGCUUUCUAAGUCGGGGGUGAAAUCCUGGAGCUCAACUCCAGAACUGCCUUCGAUACUGGAGAGCUCGAGUCCGGGAGAGGUGAGUGGAACUGCGAGUGUAGAGGUGAAAUUCGUAGAUAUUCGGCGGAACACCAGUGGCGAAGGCGACUCACUGGCCCGAUACUGACGCUGAUGCGCGAAAGCGUGGGGAGCAAACAGG